GUAACUUUGCAGUCUGAGUAAACUUAAUUAAUAAAUUAAAACUUUUAACAACGGAUCUCUUGGUUCUGGCAUCGAUGAAGAACGCAGCGAAAUGCGAUAAGUAAUGUGAAUUGCAGAAUUCAGUGAAUCAUCGAAUCUUUGAACGCACAUUGCGCCCCCUGGUAUUCCGGGGGGCAUGCCUGUUCGAGCGUCAUUUCACCACUCAAGCCUCGCUUGGUAUUGGGCAACGCGGUCCGCCGCGUGCCUCAAAUCGUCCGGCUGGGUCUUCUGUCCCCUAAGCGUUGUGGAAACUAUUCGCUAAAGGGUGUUCGGGAGGCUACGCCGUAAAACAACCCCAUUUCUAAGGUUGACCUCGGAUCAGGUAGGGAUACCCGCUGAACUUAAGCAUAUCAAUAAGCGGAGGAAAAGAAACCAACAGGGAUUGCUCUAGUAACGGCGAGUGAAGCAGCAAUAGCUCAAAUUUGAAAUCUGGCGUCUUCGACGUCCGAGUUGUAAUUUGUAGAGGAUGCUUCUGAGUGGCCACCGACCUAAGUUCCUUGGAACAGGACGUCAUAGAGGGUGAGAAUCCCGUAUGCGGUCGGAAAGGCGCUCUAUACGUAGCUCCUUCGACGAGUCGAGUUGUUUGGGAAUGCAGCUCUAAAUGGGAGGUAAAUUUCUUCUAAAGCUAAAUAUUGGCCAGAGACCGAUAGCGCACAAGUAGAGUGAUCGAAAGAUGAAAAGCACUUUGGAAAGAGAGUUAAAAAGCACGUGAAAUUGUUAAAAGGGAAGGGAUUGCAACCAGACUUGCUCGCGGUGUUCCGCCGGUCUU
rnacentral:rRNA from 1 species